rnacentral:tRNA from 6 species
GCCGUGGUGGCGGAACUGGCAGACGCAGCAGACUCAAAAUCUGCCGAUGGCAACAUCGUGGGGGUUCGAUUCCCUUCCACGGCACCA